CUACAUGAAGCUGGAAUCGCUAGUAAUCGCGAAUCAGAAUGUCGCGGCGAAUACGUUCCCGGGUCUUGUACACACCGCCCGUCACACCAUGGGAGUCAGUAACGCCCGAAGCCGGUGACCUAACCGAAAGGGAGGAGCCGUCGAAGGUGGGACCGAUAACUGGGGUGAAGUCGUAACAAGGUAGC
rnacentral:rRNA from 1 species